UACGUAGGUCCCGAGCGUUAUCCGGAUUUAUUGGGCGUAAAGCGAGCGCAGGCGGUUAGAUAAGUCUGAAGUUAAAGGCUGUGGCUUAACCAUAGUACGCUUUGGAAACUGUUUAACUUGAGUGCAGAAGGGGAGAGUGGAAUUCCAUGUGUAGCGGUGAAAUGCGUAGAUAUAUGGAGGAACACCGGUGGCGAAAGCGGCUCUCUGGUCUGUA
rnacentral:rRNA from 1 species